CAAGCUUAGCUAGCACGAGGGAGCCUCGACUCCACGGGCUAAACUGGAGGCUCCAGGAGAUCAAAGUGAACUGAAAUACCUUUCCUGACAGUGGGAACUGGGGAAGCGUGAAUGAUGUUAUUAUCAGACAGGCACCAUAGCACACUGAGAAAGGAGCUUCACCAGUCACUAGUUUUGUGACUGGGUGUGGAGGAUAAAGGUGAUGCUGUUGAAACAGACCUUGUUGAAGGGAAAAGGAGAAUUAACCAGAGCAGAAGCUUCUGGAACAAGGAUACUCCGUUAGAUAAGAACGGUAAGGCUUGAAUGCAUUUAUUUCAUUGUAUAUCUGUCUUAUUUACCAGUUCUCCUGCUGGUGGACAUGUAUGUUGCUUCCGUUUAUUCUUUCUGUUAUAAAUAAUGCUAUUUCAUUAUCGUGCCUGUUUCCUGCUACAGAGGUGCCAGCUUAUCUCAAAGGCAUAUUCCUUUUGUGAUGCAUUAUUAAUUUCUAUUCUGG
ensembl:lncRNA